rnacentral:rRNA from 1 species
CAGCAGCCGCGGUAAUACAGAGGGUGCGAGCGUUAAUCGGAUUUACUGGGCGUAAAGCGUGCGUAGGCGGCUUUUUAAGUCGGAUGUGAAAUCCCUGAGCUUAACUUAGGAAUUGCAUUCGAUACUGGGAAGCUAGAGUAUGGGAGAGGAUGGUAGAAUUCCAGGUGUAGCGGUGAAAUGCGUAGAGAUCUGGAGGAAUACCGAUGGCGAAGGCAGCCAUCUGGCCUAAUACUGACGCUGAGGUACGAAAGCAUGGGGAGCAAACAGGAUUAGAUACCCCCGUAGUCACUGUCUCUUAUAC